CCUACGGGAGGCAGCAGUGAGGAAUAUUGGUCAAUGGGCGCGAGCCUGAACCAGCCAAGUAGCGUGAAGGAUGACUGCCCUACGGGUUGUAAACUUCUUUUGUAAGGGAAUAAAGUGAGGCACGUGUGCCUGUUUGUAUGUUCUUUAUGAAUAAGGAUCGGCUAACUCCGUGCCAGCAGCCGCGGUAAUACGGAGGGUCCGAGGUUUAACCGGAUUUUUUGGGGUUAAAGGGGGCGUAGAUGGGUUGUUAAGUCAGUUGUGAAAGUUUGCGGCUCAAACGUAAAAUUGCAAUUGAAACUGGGAGUCUUGAGUACAGUUGAGGUAGGCGGAAUGCGUGGUGUAGCGGUGAAAUGCUUAGAUAUCACGAAGAACUCCGAUUGCGAAGGCAGCUUACUAGACUGCCACUGACAUUGAUGCUCGAAAGUGUGGGGAUCAAACAGGAUUAGAUACCCUUGUAGUC
rnacentral:rRNA from 1 species